CCCUUAGAUGUCCUGGGCUGCACGCGCGCUACACUGAUGCGAUCAACAAGUUUUUCCUAUGUCGAUAGACACGGGUAAUCUUUUGAACUCGCAUCGUGAUGGGGAUAGAUUAUUGUAAUUAUUAAUCUUCAACGAGGAAUUCCUAGUAGGUGCAAAUCAUCAGUUUGCAUCGAUUACGUCCCUGCCCUUUGUACACACCGCCCGUCGCUGCUACCGAUUGGUUGAUCUGGUGAAUUAUUCGGACUGCCGGCUGAAGGGGUUUCCUCAUCUGCCAGCGGAAAGUCUUGUUAACCCUAUCAACUAGAGGAAGCAGAAGUCGUAACA
rnacentral:rRNA from 1 species